rnacentral:rRNA from 1 species
GACGAACGCUGGCGGCGUGCCUAAUACAUGCAAGUUGAGCGAUGAAGCUUGGUGCUUGCACCAAUUUGAAGAGCAGCGAACGGGUGAGUAACGCGUGGGGAAUCUGCCUUUGAGCGGGGGACAACAUUUGGAAACGAAUGCUAAUACCGCAUAAUAACUUUAAACAUAAGUUUUAAGUUUGAAAGAUGCAAUUGCAUCACUCAAAGAUGAUCCCGCGUUGUAUUAGCUAGUUGGUGAGGUAAAGGCUCACCAAGGCGAUGAUACAUAGCUGACCUGAGAGGGUGAUCGGCCACAUUGGGACUGAGACACGGCCCAAACUCCUACGGGAGGCAGCAGUAGGGAAUCUUCGGCAAUGGACGAAAGUCUGACCGAGCAACGCCGCGUGAGUGAAGAAGGUUUUCGGAUCGUAAAACUCUGUUGGUAGAGAAGAACGUUGGUGAGAGUGGAAAGCUCAUCAAGUGACGGUAACUACCCAGAAAGGGACGGCUAACUACGUG